GCAUUGGUGAGGGGGCGCGGGCUGCUUGGCCAGGGCAGUUCCCUCAGCUCCGGGUUGGAGCCGGAGCCGGAGCCGGAUCCCGCGCACACCGCCACGUCAACCUAAACCUACACCGCCCUCUCCACCCCACCGCCGCAGCGCCCGCUGGGCCCGCAGCGGGUCUCCCCAGGCAGCGUCCUCCACGCCUUUCCCACAAUGCUCCGCGCCAGGCCCCGCCCCGGCUCGCCGUGGAGACCGGCGCGUGAGGAACCUACCGGUACCGGCCGCGCGCUGGUAGUCGCCGGUGUGGCUGCACCUCACCAAUCCCGUGCGCCGCGGCUGGGCCGUCGGAGAGUGCGUGUGCUUCUCUCCUGCACGCGGUGCUUGGGCUCGGCCAGGCGGGGUCCGCCGCCAGGGUUUGAGGAUGGGGGAGUAGCUACAGGAAGCGACCCCGCGAUGGCAAGGUAUAUUUUUGUGGAAUGAAAAGGAAGUAUUAGAAAUGAGCUGAAGACCAUUCACAGAUUAAUAUUUUUGGGGACAGAUUUGUGAUGCUUGAUUCACCCUUGAAGUAAUGUAGACAGAAGUUCUCAAAUUUGCAUAUUACAUCAACUGGAACCAGCAGUGAAUCUUAAUGUUCACUUAAAUCAGAACUUGCAUAAGAAAGAGAAUGGGAGUCUGGUUAAAUAAAGAUGACUAUAUCAGAGACUUGAAAAGGAUCAUUCUCUGUUUUCUGAUAGUGUAUAUGGCCAUUUUAGUGGGCACAGAUCAGGAUUUUUACAGUUUACUUGGAGUGUCCAAAACUGCAAGCAGUAGAGAAAUAAGACAAGCUUUCAAGAAAUUGGCAUUGAAGUUACAUCCUGAUAAAAACCCGAAUAACCCAAAUGCACAUGGCGAUUUUUUAAAAAUAAAUAGAGCAUAUGAAGUACUCAAAGAUGAAGAUCUACGGAAAAAGUAUGACAAAUAUGGAGAAAAGGGACUUGAGGAUAAUCAAGGUGGCCAGUAUGAAAGCUGGAACUAUUAUCGUUAUGAUUUUGGUAUUUAUGAUGAUGAUCCUGAAAUCAUAACAUUGGAAAGAAGAGAAUUUGAUGCUGCUGUUAAUUCUGGAGAACUGUGGUUUGUAAAUUUUUACUCCCCAGGCUGUUCACACUGCCAUGAUUUAGCUCCCACAUGGAGAGACUUUGCUAAAGAAGUGGAUGGGUUACUUCGAAUUGGAGCUGUUAACUGUGGUGAUGAUAGAAUGCUUUGCCGAAUGAAAGGAGUCAACAGCUAUCCCAGCCUCUUCAUUUUUCGGUCUGGAAUGGCCCCAGUGAAAUAUCAUGGAGACAGAUCAAAGGAGAGUUUAGUGAGUUUUGCAAUGCAGCAUGUUAGAAGUACAGUGACAGAACUUUGGACAGGAAAUUUUGUCAACUCCAUACAAACUGCUUUUGCUGCUGGUAUUGGCUGGCUGAUCACUUUUUGUUCAAAAGGAGGAGAUUGUUUGACUUCACAGACACGACUCAGGCUUAGUGGCAUGUUGGAUGGUCUUGUUAAUGUAGGAUGGAUGGACUGUGCCACCCAGGAUAACCUUUGUAAAAGCUUAGAUAUUACAACAAGUACUACUGCUUAUUUUCCUCCUGGAGCCACUUUAAAUAACAAAGAGAAAAACAGUAUUUUGCUGCUUCAUUGAGAGAAUCAGACCAGCAGAGAGAGAGAGUUAUAUGACAAAAUAUGCUGAGGAUAAAAUAUUGACAAAUAAAGAAGAUUUGUUAGAAGGGCCUUUUAUACUCGUUUGUGUUUUAAAUAAGAGACUCGGGCCGAAAACAAGUUUAAGAUAAGAUCUGUAUCAUUGUAUUUUACUCUAAAAACUCCUAAGUGGUUUGGUUUUUAGAUGAAAACCUCUAUAAUGAGCAAAAGUCCAUUCCAAUUUUCCACUUCUAAGUUCCUCUUAAUUAAUCUUAAUUAUUGGUUGGGGAAUGAAGUGUCUUUGAUAGUCUAUUAUUCUUCCUUCUAGUGUUAUAAAAAUUCUUAAGUGAAUGUGUAAAACAUUGGCAUUCUGUAAAACAUGAUUAGCAUUAAAAUUAAGCUAAAGAUAAUGUGGUUUUUCUUGAUGAUUGGGAGGUCACUCAGGAUUUUUCUGAGCAUUUUUAUAGAAUACACAUCAUAGUUAAUUAAAAAUUCCAGUUAAUGCAACAUCUUAUAAUGGAAUUUAUUGUAUAUCACUAUUUAAGAAACAGCUUAGUUAUAUAAUAUUUUUGAUAAUUGCCAAAAUACACUUUUUUUGAAAAAAGACAUUUGGAAUUGUUUGAAAAACUAUUUACCUUCUAUAAUCAUUUUCCUAAAAAUACUACAUUGGAAAUUGAAAAAACAAAAGAUAUCAAAUAUAAUGAAUAUUUAUUCAAAAAGAUUACAAUGUGAUUUUCUUUUUCUAGUUUCUCAACUCAUUGGAUGCUAAAGAAAUAUAUUUGGAAGUAAUACAUAAUCUUCCAGAUUUUGAACUACUUUCGGCAAACACACUAGAGGAUCGUUUGGCUCAUCAUCGGUGGCUGUUAUUUUUUCAUUUUGGAAAAAAUGAAAAUUCAAAUGAUCCUGAGCUGAAAAAACUAAAAACUCUACUUAAAAAUGAUCAUAUUCAAGUUGGCAGGUUUGACUGUUCCUCUGCACCAGACAUCUGUAGUAAUCUGUAUGUUUUUCAGCCGUCUCUAGCAGUAUUUAAAGGACAAGGAACCAAAGAAUAUGAAAUUCAUCAUGGAAAGAAGAUUCUAUAUGAUAUACUUGCCUUUGCCAAAGAAAGUGUGAAUUCUCAUGUUACCACGCUUGGACCUCAAAAUUUUCCUGCCAAUGACAAAGAACCAUGGCUUGUUGAUUUCUUUGCCCCCUGGUGUCCACCAUGUCGAGCUUUACUACCAGAGUUACGAAGAGCAUCAAAUCUUCUUUAUGGUCAGCUUAAGUUUGGUACACUAGAUUGUACAGUUCAUGAGGGACUCUGUAACAUGUAUAACAUUCAGGCUUAUCCAACAACAGUGGUAUUCAACCAGUCCAACAUUCAUGAGUAUGAAGGACAUCACUCUGCUGAACAAAUCUUGGAGUUCAUAGAGGAUCUUAUGAAUCCUUCAGUGGUCUCCCUUACACCCACCACCUUCAACGAACUAGUUACACAAAGAAAACACAACGAAGUCUGGAUGGUUGAUUUCUAUUCUCCGUGGUGUCAUCCUUGCCAAGUCUUAAUGCCAGAAUGGAAAAGAAUGGCCCGGACAUUAACUGGACUGAUCAACGUGGGCAGUAUAGAUUGCCAACAGUAUCAUUCUUUUUGUGCCCAGGAAAACGUUCAAAGAUACCCUGAGAUAAGAUUUUUUCCCCCAAAAUCAAAUAAAGCUUAUCAUUAUCACAGUUACAAUGGUUGGAAUAGGGAUGCUUAUUCCCUGAGAAUCUGGGGUCUAGGAUUUUUACCUCAAGUAUCCACAGAUCUAACACCUCAGACUUUCAGUGAAAAAGUUCUACAAGGGAAAAAUCAUUGGGUGAUUGAUUUCUAUGCUCCUUGGUGUGGACCUUGCCAGAAUUUUGCUCCAGAAUUUGAGCUCUUGGCUAGGAUGAUUAAAGGAAAAGUGAAAGCUGGAAAAGUAGACUGUCAGGCUUAUGCUCAGACAUGCCAGAAAGCUGGGAUCAGGGCCUAUCCAACUGUUAAAUUUUAUUUCUACGAAAGAGCAAAGAGAAAUUUUCAAGAAGAGCAGAUAAAUACCAGAGAUGCAAAAGCAAUCGCUGCCUUAAUAAGUGAAAAAUUGGAAACUCUCCGAAAUCAAGGCAAGAGGAAUAAGGAUGAACUUUGAUAAUGUUGAAGAUGAAGAAAAAGUUUAAAAGAAAUUCUGACAGAUGACAUCAGAAGACACCUAUUUAGAAUGUUACAUUUAUGAUGGGAAUGAAUGAACAUUAUCUUAGACUUGCAGUUGUACUGCCAGAAUUAUCUACAGCACUGGUGUAAAAGAAGGGUCUGCAAACUUUUUCUGUAAAGGGCCGGUUUAUAAAUAUUUUAGACUUUGCAGGCUAUAAUAUAUGGUUCACACAUGAGAACAAGAAUAGAGUCAUCAUGUAUUCUUUGUUAUUUGCUUUUAACAACCUUUAAAAAAUAUUAAAACGAUUCUUAGCUCAGAGCCAUACAAAAGUAGGCUGGAUUCAGUCCAUGGACCAUAGAUUGCUGUCCCCCUCGACGGACUUAUAAUGUUUCAGGUGGCUGGCUUGAACAUGAGUCUGCUGUGCUAUCUACAUAAAUGUCUAAGUUGUAUAAAGUCCACUUUCCCUUCACGUUUUUUGGCUGACCUGAAAAGAGGUAACUUAGUUUUUGGUCACUUGUUCUCCUAAAAAUGCUAUCCCUAACCAUAUAUUUAUAUUUCGUUUUAAAAACACCCAUGAUGUGGCACAGUAAACAAACCCUGUUAUGCUGUAUUAUUAUGAGGAGAUUCUUCAUUGUUUUCUUUCCUUCUCAAAGGUUGAAAAAAUGCUUUUAAUUUUUCACAGCCGAGAAACAGUGCAGCAGUAUAUGUGCACACAGUAAGUACACAAAUUUGAGCAACAGUAAGUGCACAAAUUCUGUAGUUUGCCGUAUCAUCCAGGAAAACCUGAGGGAAAAAAAUUAUAGCAAUUAACUGGGCAUUGUAGAGUAUCCUAAAUAUGUUAUCAAGUAUUUAGAGUUCUAUAUUUUAAAGAUAUAUGUGUUCAUGUAUUUUCUGAAAUUGCUUUCAUAGAAAUUUUCCCACUGAUAGUUGAUUUUUGAGGCAUCUAAUAUUUACAUAUUUGCCUUCUGAACUUUGUUUUGACCUGUAUCCUUUAUUUACAUUGGGUUUUUCUUUCGUAGUUUUGGUUUUUCACUCCUGUCCAGUCUAUUUAUUAUUCAAAUAGGAAAAAUUACUUUACAGGUUGUUUUACUGUAGCUUAUAAUGAUACUGUAGUUAUUCCAGUUACUAGUUUACUGUCAGAGGGCUGCCUUUUUCAGAUAAAUAUUGACAUAAUAACUGAAGUUAUUUUUAUAAGAAAAUCAAGUAUAUAAAUCUAGGAAAGGGAUCUUCUAGUUUCUGUGUUGUUUAGACUCAAAGAAUCACAAAUUUGUCAGUAACAUGUAGUUGUUUAGUUAUAAUUCAGAGUGUACAGAAUGGUAAAAAUUCCAAUCAGUCAAAAGAGGUCAAUGAAUUAAAAGGCUUGCAACUUUUUCAAAAACCUGUUAGAAUAUGCUUUAUUGUGUUUUGAGGAGUUUUCCUUUUUUUCUUUUCAAUAUCACUUUAUCCUGCUCACCAGUAUUUCCUCAUAAGGGUUAUUAUAGCCAUAAUUAAUGUUAAAAUAGACUUUGUUCUUCAUAUUCUCCCAUCUUUUUCGCUACUAUAUACUCUGUCUGGAUUCUGCUGUAUGCCUGUUGGCAUAUAUGGAACAGUCACCACUUGUCACACUUAACACCAGCUUUUUGAAUUAUGAUCAGUAAUGGCAAGAGCCUUUCAUUCUCGAAUGUUUAAAGCCUAGGAGUUCUACAAAAUUGGCUUCUUUCUACAAGAAUCCCAAAAUGGAAUGCCUAAAGAAGUCUUACUUGGGUAAAUACUUACUAAAAUAUACUGGUUAUGUGCAUAUCACCACACUGGACACUGAGGAGUGUUCAAAAGGAAUCUAAGACAUGGUCCCCAUCUUCCAACUGUCUGUAAUUCACUGUUUUGUCAUUGAGCUCAUAAGGUACUUACAUUACUACCUAUAAAUGUUUCCUGUACUUGUUAGUUGUUGAGAAACAUUUUAGGCAGUAAAUAAAAUAGUAAAUAUUAUGUGUCCUAUAAUUUGACCUAAGCUGUGUGCCUUUGGAAUCAGCUCUAAGCCAGGGCCCCCUGGGAGUCAUGUUAAGAAACACGUAUCAUAAAGUGACAUACAUCAAGGUUAUCUUAUAUAGUCAUAACAGUAUUAUUGGGUCUUUCAAAAACAGCUGGCAGAUUGAGCUUUUAAUGGCUAUAUUGAUACAGUAGAUAGAGCACCUCUAAGGAGUACCAGGUAUAAUGUGCCAUUUCUCUCAGCAACACCAUUUUUGUGUGCAGCUGACCCUCUAACAUGGUAUCAAUUCUAGCUGACCAAAGCACAUUCUAUCAGGCAGCCAGGCUUGGAAAUUAGGUCCAUUUAAAGUAUGUGGCUUACAGUCAGGUAUGGUGGUGUGCGCCUAUUGUCCCAUCUACUUGAGAGGCUGAGGCAGGAGGGAUUGCUUGGGCUCAGGAUUUUGAAUCCAGCCUGGGCAACAUAGCAAGACCCCAUCUCUAAUAAAUAAAUUAUGUUUUGGGCAUUAAUGAUGUUUGUCUAUUCUGAUUUCUCAAAUUUUAUUUAGGUCUUUCAUAGCUUUUUUAUUUAAAGGUAUAUGAUUAAGAUAAAGGAAAAGUAAAAUGAAAUGUUUAUGUAAUUUUAUAUUCUCAAAAUUUUCUUUAAAUUUGCUCUGUUUUCUGACAGUGCUCAAAGUGGGAAUUUUUUUAGAAGUACGGUUAUCAAAAAAACACAUUUCCUAUGGGACACACAUUUCAAAGAUGUUUAGUACGAUAAAAUUUUUAGUAAAAGGGUAGCACUUUUAAGUCAUUUGAAUAGAAUAUUUGUGUAAUAUUUAGUCUAGUGUUAGUCCUUAAAUCUGCCAACAAAACCAGAUAGAUGUCUUAAAGUAGGCACAUUUAUUCCAUUGUGACUGUUAAGAAAUAAUAAAAGAUUAAAUUAACAA
rnacentral:lncRNA from 1 species